CUGAUGACUCCUAGGAUGACGCUGGCGGCGUGCUUAACACAUGCAAGUCGAGCGAUGAAGUUUCCUUCGGGAAACGGAUUAGCGGCGGACGGGUGAGUAACACGUGGGUAACCUGCCUCAUAGAGUGGAAUAGCCUUCCGAAAGGAAGAUUAAUACCGCAUAAUGUUGAAAGAUGGCAUCAUCAUUCAACCAAAGGAGCAAUCCGCUAUGAGAUGGACCCGCGGCGCAUUAGCUAGUUGGUGGGGUAACGGCCUACCAAGGCGACGAUGCGUAGCCGACCUGAGAGGGUGAUCGGCCACAUUGGGACUGAGACACGGCCCAGACUCCUACGGGAGGCAGCAGUGGGGAAUAUUGCACAAUGGGGGAAACCCUGAUGCAGCAACGCCGCGUGAGUGAUGAAGGUUUUCGGAUCGUAAAGCUCUGUCUUUGGGGAAGAUAAUGACGGUACCCAAGGAGGAAGCCACGGCUAACUACGUGCCAGCAGCCGCGGUAAUACGUCGU
rnacentral:rRNA from 1 species